GACGAACGCUGGCGGCGUGCUUAACACAUGCAAGUCGAACGGAAAGGCCCUGCUUUUGUGGGGUGCUCGAGUGGCGAACGGGUGAGUAACACGUGAGUAACCUGUCCCUGACUUUGGGAUAACUUCAGGAAACUGGGGCUAAUACCGGAUAGGAGCUCUUGCUGCAUGGUGGGGGUUGGAAAGUUUCGGCGGUUGGGGAUGGACUCGCGGCUUAUCAGCUUGUUUGUGGGGUAGUGGCUUACCAAGGCUUUGACGGGUAGCCGGCCUGAGAGGGGAACCGGCCACACUAGGAUUGAGAUACGACACAGACUCCAACGGGAGGCAGCGGUGGAGAGUAUUGCACAAUAGGCGGAAGGCUGAUGCAGCACAGCCGCGUGCGGGAUGACGGGCUUCGGGUUGUAAACCGAUGUCGCCUGUGACGAGGCGUGAGUGACGGUAAUGGGUAAAGAAGCACCGGCUAACUACGUG
rnacentral:rRNA from 1 species